UCUCAGAGCAAGGAGCUAAAUGUGUUCUCUAAUCUCCCUUUUCACCUCUGCCCCUUCUGGGUAUCCCCUCUGGAUGUCUUGGUGAACUAACCAGCAGAUUCAGAUGUGAGCUUUCCUGUCCUUAUUGCUGUGAUCUGGGUCUGUUCAGUUGGCUACUCGGGAGACUAUACUUCGGGCAGAAUGGAUGUCAGAAAGCAACAAAGGCUACAUGGUGCCCUUCGAUGCCACACAUGAGGCAGAAACACAUCUAGAACUCCAUAUUGUCUUCUUCUUCUGGGACCAUUUGUUUGUAAUAAAUUACUAAAACUGGAGCAAAA
rnacentral:lncRNA from 1 species